rnacentral:rRNA from 1 species
UACGUAGGGGGCGAGCGUUGUCCGGAAUUAUUGGGCGUAAAGAGCUCGUAGGCGGUCUGUCGCGUCGAAUGUGAAAACCCGGGGCUCAACCCCGGGCCUGCAUUCGAUACGGGCAGACUAGAGUUCGGUAGGGGAGUCUGGAAUUCCUGGUGUAGCGGUGAGAUGCGCAGAUAUCAGGAGGAACACCGGUGGCGAAGGCGGGACUCUGGGCCGAUACUGACGCUGAGGAGCGAAAGCGUGGGGAGCAAACAGG